rnacentral:rRNA from 1 species
UACGUAGGCCCCGAGCGUUGUCCGGAUUUAUUGGGCGUAAAGCGAGCGCAGGUGGUUUAUUAAGUCUGGUGUAAAAGGCAGUGGCUCAACCAUUGUAUGCAUUGGAAACUGGUAGACUUGAGUGCAGGAGAGGAGAGUGGAAUUCCAUGUGUAGCGGUGAAAUGCGUAGAUAUAUGGAGGAACACCGGUGGCGAAAGCGGCUCUCUGGCCUGUAACUGACACUGAGGCUCGAAAGCGUGGGAAGCAAACAGG